GAUGAACGCUGACAGAAUGCUUAACACAUGCAAGUCAACUUGAAUUUGGGUUUUUUAACUUCGAUUUGGGUGGCGGACGGGUGAGUAACGCGUAAAGAACUUGCUUCACAGCUAGGGACAACAUUUGGAAACGAAUGCUAAUACCUGAUAUUAUGAUUAUAAGGCAUCUUAGAAUUAUGAAAGCUAUAUGCGCUGUGAGAGAGCUUUGCGUCCCAUUAGCUAGUUGGAGAGGUAACGGCUCACCAAGGCGAUGAUGGGUAGCCGGCCUGAGAGGGUGAACGGCCACAAGGGGACUGGGACACGGCCCUUACGGCUACGGGAGGCAGCAGUGGAGAAUAGUGGACGAUAGACCAAGAGUCUGAUGCAGCAAUUCUGUGUGCACGAUGACGUUUUUCGGAAUGUAAAGUGCUUUCAGUUGGGAAGAAAAAAAUGACGGUACCAACAGAAGAAGUGACGGCUAAAUACGUG
rnacentral:rRNA from 1 species